CUGGGACACAGUCAUGCACCACCAUGCCUGGCUAAUUUUUAAAAUUUUUUGUAGAGAUGGGUUUCUCUUUAUGUUGCCAAGCCUGGCCUCAAAGUCUUGGGCUCAAGCAAUCCACCCUGUUCGGCUUCCCAAAGUGAUGAGAUUGCAGGCAUGAGUCACCACAUCCAGCCUCAAAUGCUUUUUUGUACUUUAAUGAGAUCAUAUAUUUUUAUUAAUAUGGUGAAUGAUACUGGUUAUUUUUUACAUUUUAAAUUCACUUUGCAUUCAUCAUAUAAACCCCACUUGGUCAUGGUGCAUUACCCUUCUUAUAAAUUGCUGGACUUAAUUUGCUUAUACCGUGUUAAGGAUUUUUGAAUGUAUGAUUAGGAGACAUAUUGAACUUAAGCUGCGUGGACUUAGAAUUUUCUUUGUGGAAUCGAUCAUCGUGGCAGACAGGAGGCAGGAUUAGAUUGCAGCUCUGACUCAGAGCAGCGUGCGGAGGCUCGCAUUGUGAAUUUUAGCUCCAGAUAAACUUCAAGAACAAACCAGCAAUCCUGAGAGGACCCACAGACCCUCUGAAAAAAGCGGACUGUUCCUGCAACACCCAGGAGACACCCCAAAUACUAUGAAGAAUCUGAGGCACAAAGAGGUCAACUGGCUUGCCCAAGGGUACUUGGCAGAAGGUGAGCUCUGAUAUAGUGCUUUAGUGCACGGACUCAGAAAGUGGAUGAGCUAAGACAUUCAUGAAGCUGUGUAAGAGAGAAAGGCUCAUCACCUUUGCAGAUGACACAAGCCUUUUAUGCGGGAAUCAAAGAAGAACAUGAGAGGCCAGAACACCGGAUUGAAACCAGCAAUUUGACCUUUAAAAGGUUUCCUGAGUUUCUUCUUUCUCAUCUGGAAAUUGGAUAUGCUGCAUCAGUUUCACUGGCUGUUGUGAAUGACCUGGUCUAUUGUCAACAAAGCCCUCAGAAGUCAGGCAGGAUUGUCUCUCAUGACCUAGAUCAAGACUGACACUAGAAGAAAUAUUUUAAAAAAUUACUUGAGUGGAAGAAUAUGAUAAUACACAGGAACUUGGAUCCACAAAAAGAAAGAAAGUUCUUCAGAAACAGCUAAAAAGAAACUAUCAGAAAUCUCUUGCCUGGAUUAUAGAAACAACACUUGGAAGCCUCAUUUCAGUGAUUGCAGCUUUUGCCCUUAUAUCCGUCCAACUGCACUGAAGCCAAGUUUCUGCAGAACUGGAAGACUGGUUUCUGGGAACCUGGUGAUUGGUCAGUCCAAGUCCAAAGUGGUUGCUCUUCAUGGAUUUGCACAAGUAAAUAUCAACAUUUCAGGCCAACAUUACUUUGUGAAUGCCAAUCCCUGGGCAUAAAUUUUUUUCCCAGCCCCUAUGUUCUUCCCUACCACCAGCCCGACUCAGCACCUGGUGAAAUCUCACUCUGGCUUCCAGGUCCAGCUCAUAUACUUCCUCCUCUGUGCAUCCUUCCCUCACACCCACCCUUCUCCAGUGCAGUUCAUUAUGUCCUCUGCAGUGUACACAGAGGACAUACAUCCCUCUAACAUUGUGGUUACCCUGCUGUGUGCUGAAAGCCACCCUGGUAUCUGCUUGUUUCUCUCUUUUGCACUUGAUGAAAUAUUCACAGGUGGUCACAGUCUCAGUCACCACUGUUUUCAGUAUCAAGCUUGGUGCUGAACAAUUGCUCAGUAAAUGUCCAUCAGAUGAACAGUGGGUACCUACUUGGGAAAACAUAAUAAAAUGUAUUUGUCCUAUCACCUAACUUUAUUUACAAAGGAAUUUUAAAUAGAAUCAUAAAGCGUCAGAAUAGGAAAGAAACCAUGAAGUCACCAGAGGAAGUGGUGGUAACUGUUUCCCAGUGAAAAUCCCCAAAUAGGUUUAUGUGGGCAAAUGAGAAGGAACCUUGGAAAGAUUCCACUGGAAGGCAUUUUGAUUUCCCAGAGUGGGCUGGCCCCUGUAAUGCAAACACAGAUCUGAUCAUGAGCUCUGAGCCGAGCAGACUUGCUCUUUUUGAACCUCCUCCUGCUAGGAUUCCUUGGGCCCUUCAAGGGGCACUCCCAGACUAGGGUAACAGGGGUUUCUCCCACUACAGAAGUGUGGAAUAUUAUGGAAUACUAUAAAGUGACUCUGUUCCCUCCAACCCCUUCACUUCCCGCUUACCUCUCCAUCCACUCUGCCCCCAUUGACUGAUUUCUUCUGGUUCUGAGGAAGUCUCUCCUCCUGACUCAGGAUCAAGGCCAGUCUCAGGCCCUGCACCACCAUCAUUCUCCAUGCCACAGGAGCACCCUCCACUCCUAGGCCCUGCGUGUGGUGGCUGAUCACUACAUGCUUAGCUGGGCCUAGCACAAUGCUGACGCAGGGACAUAUCCUUCUUCACUCUCUGGCAACCCCCUGGACGCAUCUGCCCUUUCAGGAUUUUGUUUCUGACAGUCUACCUCCAGCUGGCUUCUUUUCACUAGUUUCAGCAGAUUUAGGCUGGGUCUAGGUUUAGGGCUCCUGAGAAGUCUCAUUCCCCCUUCCUUCCCUGUGGGAAGGCCGUUUCUUACUUCCUACUGAAGAUGAGAUGUCUUCUCUAGAUUUUAUAGCUCAAAUGUCAAAUAAGGUGGGGUUUAGGCCUUGGGAUCAGCAUGAGGAGAUUUGACUGCCCUCGUUUCCCUCAUUCAAAGCUGUGCGGGUGUCCCCAGGAGCUUGCACCAGCUCUGCCCCAUCUGAGAAUUCCCUUCUGAUUCUCUGUUCAACUUCUUCCAAUUAAUGUGCUCAGGUUGUGAAUAUCACUAUGGGGCUUAAAGCAGUUAAAUUCUUCAAAACAGCUUUUGACUUUUAGCUUCUGGGUUCUCAAAAGUCCCCCAACCCCACCAGCUCCAGGCCCUUAUAUGCAGUUUUUACCCCAUUUAUACACUGCCGUCUGAAACACAGCAGAAAUUGCAUUCAUCCCUCAGAGAGUGUGAAUGUUUUGAGAAAAUUACUCAGCAUUUAAAUGUCAAGAUAAUCAAGACCACACAGCCACAAAUAAUUACAUAAGGAUAGAGAAGAGGCAUCUCCACUACCCAGGCUGCCAGGGCCCUUCCCAGGGCCAGGGAGUCCAGCCCACACGUUUCUCAGGUAAAGAGGAAAUAAACAGCAGCAAUGGACCACGGCCCUACCCCCCAUGGAAGCUCCCCCUGACCUCUCCUGAGGUCUCAUCUGAGGCCCAUAAGUACUUAGACUGGAUGGAUAUCUCACCCUCAUAAAGCCCUCCAUGGCAAUCAGUUUUAUUUUGAAAAUUGUUCUACAUCUCCCCUCUGCUAAGACUUGAAAAAAAAAAAAAAGGAAAAUGCUUAAGGAAAUAUUGCAAUGCUCUUUGAGUCCUGAUGAAGCAGCCAUACUAAUUCACUUCUUCCUUGUGGGAGGUGGUGAAACACCACACAGCUGCUCAAAGCCUAUUUUGGAAGUGGAUGCUGGAGAGCAGCAGCCCCUGGGCACUCCCUCCUCUGAAGGCCUUCACUGUGUUUCAAAUGAAUUGGAGGACUUGAUUCAAGCAGGGAGAUAUUUUCCUGAUUUGUUUUUUAGUGUCAGGGCACUGGCAGCAACUGGAGAUGUUUAAAUUGUGAGACAUCAGGAAGUGAGAGCAUGAGUACUUACACAUAGAUUGGGGGAAGACUCCAACCACAGGAUUUGCAUUUAGAGAGAGGGCUGGGACUAAGAUAUCUGGAUUCCACAGGACCAUUUCUAUUUCAGAGAGAUAUCCUCCUAAUUAAUUUCUUUACAAAUAAAGAGCUGUCCUUAUCCUAAUUAUUAAAAGUGAAGACAGAAACACACUUAUGGCAGGGCGCGGUGGCUCACACCUAUAAUCCCAGCAGUUUUGGAGGCUGAGGUGGGCGGAUCACCUGAGGUUAGGAGUUCGAGACCAGCCUGGCCAACAUGGUGAAACCCCAUCUCUACUAAAAAUACAAAAAAUUAACUGGGCUUGGUGGUACACACCUGUAGUCCUAGGUACUUGGGAGGCUGAGGCAGGAGAAUUGCUUUAGCCUGGGAGGCAGACAUUGCAGUGAGCCGAGAUUGCACCACUGCACUCCAGCCUGGGCAACAGAGGAAGACUCUGUCUCAAAAAAAAAAAAAAACAAAAACAAACAAACAAAAAACAAAAAAAAAACAAAAGAAAGAAAAGAAAAAGAAAAACCCCCCAAAAACGAAACAAAACAAAACAAAAACACUUACGAUGUUCUUGUCAUGGUAAUUGAUAUAAAUUGUCACCUUGCCAAGGUGCCAAGCUCCAUCCUGCACACAGUGGGGAGAUAGCACUCCCACAAGCUCAGACCAAGAUCAGCUAAAUAGGGUACAUGCAAGUCAAUGGCAUCUUGGCAGCUGAGACAGUAGGUGCAUGGGGCAGUCAGAGAGAGUGAGAACUGAGCCUGGUGGUGAGUUGUCUAGGAAAUCAGCAGUCCAUCUACAUAAGGAAUCCACCCUCUAUGACUUUACUGCCUCAUGCACGAUAUUACAUCCUUUAAGGAAGCCUUUAAUUCAUCUAUUGUCAAAACAGUGAAGGCUCAUAAAACUCUUACAGCCCAUUCACACAACUUCUCUUUGAGAAUGCAGCUGGGCACUGAUUUGGUUGAUGGUGUCUGUCUUGAAGCUUCCUAAUCAGACUGCAAAUCUCCCCAUUAGCUCAUCAAUGACCAUGUUACAAAAUCUAUAAGUCAUUUCCCGGGCCUUGUCCUACUUGACCUAUCAGCAGCAUUUGACCUAGCAGACCAUGUGCUUUCCAGGAUACCAUAGUCUCCUGAGUUGGCUCGCCCCUUUUUAUGUCAUUCUUCUUCAUGGAGCUCUCAUUAACCUGAGCUCUAAAACAUUGCAGUCUCCUGGUUCUUAUAAUUCAUAGACCUCUAAGGUGCUGCAUGGAUUUACACUAGGGGGCACAUUCACAUAGAUAUCUUGGUGCUAUCUGGAGUUCUGCAAUGCCCAGUUAUUUACUAAACCAUUGCUGAAGCAUGAUCAUAGACCAAUCAAUGCUGGUCUACCAACUGUUUGCUGCCAGCUCACAACAAGACAAGGACAGAUAUUGAGAGCACUUAUUUAGAAACAUUUAGAGCAAAGUGACAGUGUUGCUGCAUCCACACUACCCCAGUUAGACUCUUCUAGUGUUCAUGAUCUGAUCAGGUACAGACCAGUUUGGGCAUUGUUGAACUCGUGGAGAGACACACGUGAUGUGAGCUGUGUACCGGGCAUGUGAAAUAGGAUAGAGUGUGAUAUUUUCACUUAAAUUAGUCGAGUGAAAGUACAUAAAAUCUGAAUCCAUGUCUUUUAUGGAAAAAUAAUUUCAAUAAAAAAUAAGUAACCCAACUGUAGUUAAUAAUAUUGUAUUGGAUACUUAUAAUUUACUGAGAGUAGAUCUUAAGUGUUCUCACGCACACACAAAAAAAGAUUAUUGUGAGGUGAUGAAUGUGUUAACUAGUUAACCUGCUUGUAUUAAUCAUUUUACAAUGUAUAGGUAUAUUAAAUACCAUGUUGUACACUUUAAAUAUAUACAAUUUUAUUUGUCAAUUAUACUUCAAUAAAGCUGAAAAAAUAUAAUUUAAAUCAACUAACAUGUUAUAGGAUAUGUCAUUGAAUGUGGCUGCUGCUGAAGAAUUGAAGAUGGAUAUUGAAAAUAUAACUUUCAUUUUACAUAAAGGCUAAAUAUGAAUAUCUUGAGCCUAGAGAAUUUGCUUUAAAAUUCUUUCUUCCAUACCCAUCAACCUAUCUCUUCUACCAUGAGUAAUAGUAAAACAAAACAUAGAAAUAAUUUAGGUACACCUUGUCCUCAAUAAGUACUCUUGUCAUCAAUCCAACUUAGAUAAGUUAACAAGGAAGAAGCAAAUUCAUUUGUCCCUUUAAAAAGUUAAAUGUUGAUAUACAGUGAAUGUUCAAAAUGUGUGUAGAGAUUUUGAAAAUGUGAAAUCACUGUCUCAUUCUUAAUGUUUUGCUUAGCUGUAUUUCAAAAGGAUAAAAAAUAAAUGCAAUGCUGUCACUAAUCACCUAUAUGCAUAAUUUCAAUGAGCAAUGCACAGUUUUGGUAAUUUUUUUCUACAUUGUGCUUUUCCUGAUUAUAUUAUUGAAAUGUAUUUUCAUAUCUGUUGAAUAUAUUAAUACAAAUUUGGGCUUGCAUUUUAUAUGUAUUUAUUUUUAUUUCAUUUUCUUUUUCUAGUAAUUUAUUUUAUUUUUACAGAAGUGUCAGACUGCAGUUGACUAGAAACUAACACACACACAGAUACACAUUUAUAGACCUCAGAGGCAAUGCAGCCCUGGAAUUGUGCUAGUCCUUCUAUUUUCUAUGUAUACUUACACUCAUGAUGAUAUCAUCAAAUUUCAUGUCCUUAAAUUCCAUCAAAAUGCCAAUGACUUCCAAAUGUGUCUCUUCAGCCCAGACUUCUCCCCUGAACUCAGCUUUGCUUGUCCAAUUGCCUACUUGACAUUUCCACUAGGAUGAGUAACCAAUCCAAAACUGAACUUUUGAUCUUCCCCUAUUCCCACUCAGGAUGCUCUCCUUGUGCAAAACUUCGUCAUCUCAGUAAAUGAAAAGAACAUCUUUCUAGGAGCUCAGGCGAAACGCUCAAGAGUCGUAGUUGACUCUUCUCUUUUUCUCACAGUUCACAUCUAGUCUCUAUUGAAAUUAUCUUGGCUCCACCUACGAAAUACAUCCAGAAUUUAACCACUUCUCACCACCUCCAUUUCCAUUAUGCUAAUCCUAGCAUGUAUCCCCCGUGUCUGGAUUACUGCAAUGAUCUCCUAAACAAUCUCUCUGCUUUCAUUCUGUCUUCCAGUCUCUUCUCAGCUGAGCAGCUAGAAUGAACACUUCAAAGCAAAAGACACUAUGUCACUUCUCUGCUCAAAUCAUUCCAUCUGACUCAGUCUAAAAGUCAAUUGCAAUGACCUUUCAUACCAUGGGUGGUCUGCUCUCUUCCUUUGUCCACUAGGACCCAACCACACUGGCUUCCUUAUUGUUCAUCACAUGCUUCUGCCUUGGGGGCUUUGCACUCAUUGUUUCCUAUUUCUACACUCUUUUUUUUUUAAUUUAAUUUUUACUUUAGAUUCAGGAGGUACAUAUGCAGGCUUAUCACAAGGUUAUAUUGUGUGAGUCUGCAGUUUGGGCUUCUAUUGAUCUUGUUACCCAGAGAGUGAACACAGUACUAAUAGAAAGUUUUUCAGCCCUGCGUCCCUCCCUUCUCCCAUCUUUUGGAGUCCCUCAUGUCUGUUGUUUUCGUCUUUAUGUCCAUAUGUACCCAAGGUUUAGCUCCCACUUGUAAAUAAGAACAUGUGAUAUUUGGUUUUCUGUUAAUUUGCUUAGGCAAAUGGCCUCCAGCUGCACCCAUGUUGCUGUAAAACACACGAUUUCAUUUCUGGUACAUUAUUGACCAACAGAUCCCCUUAGCUUGCUCUCCAGUCUCCUACAGGUAUUUGCCUAAAUGUCAUCACCUCAGUGAGGCUUUUUAUUUUUAGAACCUACGUAAAUUUGCAUCCCUCCGGCUUCACCUCUUCCCUUUUCCUGCAGUAUUUUUCUCCACAGAACUUAAUACUUUCUAAUACACUGUAUAAUUUACUUUUUAAAGCUUGUCACUAGAAUAUAAGCUCCACAAGGGUAAGAAUUUUAUAUCUUUUGUUCAUUGCUGACUUCCUAGCAUCUACAACAGAGGUUAAAACUCUAAUAAGUACGCGCCCUUCUAAUUAUGAGAUCUGUUAUUUGACUGUGAGCCCCUGAUGAGGAGAUGAAACGCACUGCAACAUUUUGACUGCUCUGCUUACCCCAGUGCCAUGCAAAGAACAAGGAUUCAUGCAUACUUAUUAAAAAAAUGAAUCAAGUCUGUCUGGGAACAUUGCAAAUAAUAAGAAUGUACCACCAGACCUCCUGGUUCCUAUUAUCUCAUUUUGAAGAUGAGACAUCUGCAAAGUCAAAAGAUUUCUCUGGAUGUGAGAGACAAACAGUAACUUCUGUGUAGUUCUGGGAAGGAGGCAUCAUAGAGCAGGUGUGUUUUGAGUUCCAGUCCUCAGCAAGAGAGAGAGAAAAAAGAUUACUCAUAGAGAGGUAGGAAAAGGUUUUAAUAAAGUAUAAUUUCCAAGAAUUUGAGUAAGUUCUCUUAGGCCUAAUAUCCCUUUCCAACUUUGAGGACUUGCCCUACUGUCAGAAAUCUCCACAUUUUCUUUACUCUUCUAAAAAGUAACAUCUAGAAGUGAAACUUCUCGCCCCCAUGAGAUUAAAAUUAUAUCAA
rnacentral:lncRNA from 1 species